GACGAACGCUGGCGGCGUGCUUAACACAUGCAAGUCGAACGGAAAGGCCCUGCUUUUGUGGGGUGCUCGAGUGGCGAACGGGUGAGUAACACGUGAGUAACCUGCCCUUGACUUUGGGAUAACUUCAGGAAACUGGGGCUAAUACCGGAUAGGAGCUCCUGCUGCAUGGUGGGGGUUGGAAAGUUUCGGCGGUUGGGGAUGGACUCGCGGCGUAUCAGCGUGUUGGUGGGGUAGUGGCUUACCAAGGCUUUGACGGGUAGCCGGCCUGAGAGGGUGACCGGCCACAUUGGGACUGAGAUACGGCCCAGACUCCUACGGGAGGCAGCAGUGGGGAAUAUUGCACAAUGGGCGGAAGCCUGAUGCAGCAACGCCGCGUGCGGGAUGACGGCCUUCGGGUUGUAAACCGCUUUCGCCUGUGACGAAGCGUGAGUGACGGUAAUGGGUAAAGAAGCACCGGCUAACUACGUG
rnacentral:rRNA from 1 species